rnacentral:rRNA from 1 species
CCUACGGGAGGCAGCAGUAGGGAAUCUUCCACAAUGGGCGAAAGCCUGAUGGAGCAACGCCGCGUGAGUGAUGAAGGCCUUCGGGUUGUAAAACUCUGUCAUUCGGGACGAACCGGAGUCUGAGGAAAUGCAGACUCUCUGACGGUACCGGAGGAGGAAGCCCCGGCUAACUACGUGCCAGCAGCCGCGGUAAUACGUAGGGGGCAAGCGUUGUCCGGAUUCACUGGGCGUAAAGCGCGCGCAGGCGGUGAUGUAAGUCUGAGGUGAAAACCCGAAGCUCAACUUCGGGACUGCCUUGGAUACUGCGUCACUUGAGGAUAGGAGAGGCAAGGGGAAUUCCACGUGUAGCGGUGAAAUGCGUAGAGAUGUGGAGGAACACCUGUGGCGAAGGCGCCUUGCUGGCCUAUUUCUGACGCUGAGGCGCGAAAGCGUGGGGAGCAAACAGGAUUAGAUACCCUGGUAGUCCACGCUGUAAACGAUGAGUGCUAGGUGUAGGUGGGCUCAUACCCAUCUGUGCCGAAGCUAACGCAUUAAGCACUCCGCCUGGGGAGUACGGUCGCAAGACUGAAACUCAAAGGAAUUGACGGCUUGAGACGNGCGAGGCGACACGAGGGAGGAG